UAGCUCAGUUGGUAAAGAAUCUGCCUGCAGUGCAGAAGACCCAGGUUCGAUCCCUGG
rnacentral:tRNA from 1 species